GCCCGACUAGCUCAUCGGUAGAGCGCCUCACUAGUAAUAGCAGCCCCUUCCUGGGGAAAUUUACAUUGCAAUGAGGAGGCAACAGGUUCGAUUCCUGUGUUGGGCA